AUUUAAUGCUGUGGACAUCUAGUGCACAACUUAUUGAAUCUUUCCCAAUAGUCAUAUAGGGACUCUACAGAAUACUGCUUAAUACUGCAUAUCUCUUUUCUUAGACU